AACGAAGCCUUCGGGCUUAGUGGCGCACGGGUGCGUAACGCGUGGGAAUCUGCCCUUGGGUUCGGAAUAACAGUGAGAAAUUACUGCUAAUACCGGAUGAUGUCUUCGGACCAAAGAUUUAUCGCCCAGGGAUGAGCCCGCGUUAGAUUAGCUAGUUGGUGGGGUAAUGGCCUACCAAGGCGACGAUCUAUAGCUGGUCUGAGAGGAUGAUCAGCCACACUGGGACUGAGACACGGCCCAGACUCCUACGGGAGGCAGCAGUGGGGAAUAUUGGACAAUGGGCGAAAGCCUGAUCCAGCAAUGCCGCGUGAGUGAUGAAGGCCUUAGGGUUGUAAAGCUCUUUUACCAGGGAUGAUAAUGACAGUACCUGGAGAAUAAGCUCCGGCUAACUCCGUGCCAGCAGCCGCGGUAAUACGGAGGGAGCUAGCGUUGUUCGGAAUUACUGGGCGUAAAGCGCGCGUAGGCGGUGACUCAAGUCAGAGGUGAAAGCCCGGGGCUCAACCCCGGAACUGCCUUUGAAACUAGGUCGCUAGAAUCUUGGAGAGGCGAGUGGAAUUCCGAGUGUAGAGGUGAAAUUCGUAGAUAUUCGGAAGAACACCAGUGGCGAAAGCGACUCGCUGGACAAGUAUUGACGCUGAGGUGCGAAAGUGUGGGGAGCAAACAGGAUUAGAUACCCUGGUAGUCCACACCGUAAACGAUGAUAACUAGCUGUCCGGGCUCUUGGAGUUUGGGUGGCGCAGCUAACGCAUUAAGUUAUCCGCCUGGGGAGUACGGUCGCAAGAUUAAAACUCAAAGGAAUU
rnacentral:rRNA from 1 species